CAACUACUCCCUCCGUCCCAAAAUAAGUGACUCAAAAAUGACUCUACUUUGUACUAAAAUUAGUACAAAGUAGAGUCAUUUUUGAGUCACUUAUUUUGGGACGGAGGGAGUACAUG
rnacentral:pre_miRNA from 1 species